rfam:Felis catus isolate Cinnamon breed Abyssinian chromosome X, whole genome shotgun sequence.
GCCUGGGUGGCUCAGUCGGUUAAGUGCCAGACUUUGGCUCAGGUCAUGAUCUCACAGUCUGUGGGUUCGAACCCCUUGUCAGGCU